UCUUCUUCACGGCGGUUCUCUCGGUCUUUGGUCGGGGUGUCUGUCCGUGGUUGGCUCUGGCUAGGAGCUUUGUGGCAGGCUUCUUGUUUCUGUUCAGUCUCGGGUUAUCGGUUGUCCUUCCGGUAACGGCGCGUGAGAGUCAGUCCGGAGCUAUAGUCGGUAAGCUUGGUCUCUGGUCUCUCUAGUGGUCACGCGUUUGGUCAGAACUUUGUUUCUUGCUCUGUUCGAUCUACGGAUCUGGGGUGUUGCAGAAGUUUUUGCCUCCGUUUGUGUGCAGGUCCGAUGUUGUGGCCCUCGGGUUACUCUCGCCUUUCCUAAUAAAGAUGUGGGGUUUGGCGGUGGCGGUCGUCGUUUCUCCAUCCUCUCGGGUUUUUGGUGAUGGUUUAGCUGUGGAGUUGUUUGGGUUAGCAGGAAUUGGAUAGGCUUUAGUUUGGCUCCGGCUUUCUAGCGUGCUUGGUGGUAUUUCUUCGGAAGAGGUGUUUCUGGCCGGUCCCACUGCUCUAUAUGAGCCUUGGGUUCAACGGGUGUACACGGUCACGGGUUGGUGAGUUGGAGGCAGCAAUCUUCAGCACCCUUCUCCGAACGACGGCAUCGUCGGUUGUGAGAUUCUCUUCGUGCUGCCGGUUAAGUAUCUCUCGGGUUAGCUAGCGAGUUUGGGUUGUGAUUCUUUGGGCUGUUUAUGACGUUUGAGUUCUCCAGAAGCUGCAGGAGCCGUGUGUUUCAAGGUUUGAGGGCGCCUUUCUCUCCGGUAGCUCGUGGCGACUGGUAGCUCUCUCUGUUGUCGAUUCGCUUUCUGGUCCUUCGCGCUAAAGUUGAAGUUUUGUUCAUUGUCAGCUUCUUCUUUGCUUCAUUAGUUUUUCGUUGCUUAGAUCCCUUUUGUUUAGUUUAUUCAUGUUCUUCUGCUACUAGUUCGCUGUGUAUCGUCUGUAAAAAAUUGAAAAGUUGG
rnacentral:lncRNA from 1 species